GCUAGGUGUGGGGGUGCACCCCGGUAAUCCCAACGGCCUGGGAGGUUGAGGCAGGAGGAUCACUAGUUUGAGGCCAGCCUCCCCAACUUAGCAAGGCCCUAACUAACUUAGUGAGACCCUGUCUCAA
rnacentral:sRNA from 1 species